rnacentral:rRNA from 1 species
UUAAGCGACUAAGCGUACACGGUGGAUGCCCUGGCAGUCAGAGGCGAUGAAGGACGUGCUAAUCUGCGAUAAGCGUCGGUAAGGUGAUAUGAACCGUUAUAACCGGCGAUUUCCGAAUGGGGAAACCCAGUGUGUUUCGACACACUAUCAUUAACUGAAUCCAUAGGUUAAUGAGGCGAACCGGGGGAACUGAAACAUCUAAGUACCCCGAGGAAAAGAAAUCAACCGAGAUUCCCCCAGUAGCGGCGAGCGAACGGGGAGCAGCCCAGAGCCUGAAUCAGUGUGUGUGUUAGUGGAAGCGUCUGGAAAGGCGCGCGAUACAGGGUGACAGCCCCGUACACAAAAAUGCACAUGCUGUGAGCUCGAUGAGUAGGGCGGGACACGUGGUAUCCUGUCUGAAUAUGGGGGGACCAUCCUCCAAGGCUAAAUACUCCUGACUGACCGAUAGUGAACCAGUACCGUGAGGGAAAGGCGAAAAGAACCCCGGCGAGGGGAGUGAAAAAGAACCUGAAACCGUGUACGUACAAGCAGUGGGAGCACGCUUAGGCGUGUGACUGCGUACCUUUUGUAUAAUGGGUCAGCGACUUAUAUUCUGUAGCAAGGUUAACCGAAUAGGGGAGCCGAAGGGAAACCGAGUCUUAACUGGGCGUUAAGUUGCAGGGUAUAGACCCGAAACCCGGUGAUCUAGCCAUGGGCAGGUUGAAGGUUGGGUAACACUAACUGGAGGACCGAACCGACUAAUGUUGAAAAAUUAGCGGAUGACUUGUGGCUGGGGGUGAAAGGCCAAUCAAACCGGGAGAUAGCUGGUUCUCCCCGAAAGCUAUUUAGGUAGCGCCUCGUGAAUUCAUCUCCGGGGGUAGAGCACUGUUUCGGCAAGGGGGUCAUCCCGACUUACCAACCCGAUGCAAACUGCGAAUACCGGAGAAUGUUAUCACGGGAGACACACGGCGGGUGCUAACGUCCGUCGUGAAGAGGGAAACAACCCAGACCGCCAGCUAAGGUCCCAAAGUCAUGGUUAAGUGGGAAACGAUGUGGGAAGGCCCAGACAGCCAGGAUGUUGGCUUAGAAGCAGCCAUCAUUUAAAGAAAGCGUAAUAGCUCACUGGUCGAGUCGGCCUGCGCGGAAGAUGUAACGGGGCUAAACCAUGCACCGAAGCUGCGGCAGCGACACUGUGUGUUGUUGGGUAGGGGAGCGUUCUGUAAGCCUGCGAAGGUGUGCUGUGAGGCAUGCUGGAGGUAUCAGAAGUGCGAAUGCUGACAUAAGUAACGAUAAAGCGGGUGAAAAGCCCGCUCGCCGGAAGACCAAGGGUUCCUGUCCAACGUUAAUCGGGGCAGGGUGAGUCGACCCCUAAGGCGAGGCCGAAAGGCGUAGUCGAUGGGAAACAGGUUAAUAUUCCUGUACUUGGUGUUACUGCGAAGGGGGGACGGAGAAGGCUAUGUUGGCCGGGCGACGGUUGUCCCGGUUUAAGCGUGUAGGCUGGUUUUCCAGGCAAAUCCGGAAAAUCAAGGCUGAGGCGUGAUGACGAGGCACUACGGUGCUGAAGCAACAAAUGCCCUGCUUCCAGGAAAAGCCUCUAAGCAUCAGGUAACAUCAAAUCGUACCCCAAACCGACACAGGUGGUCAGGUAGAGAAUACCAAGGCGCUUGAGAGAACUCGGGUGAAGGAACUAGGCAAAAUGGUGCCGUAACUUCGGGAGAAGGCACGCUGAUAUGUAGGUGAAGCGACUUGCUCGUGGAGCUGAAAUCAGUCGAAGAUACCAGCUGGCUGCAACUGUUUAUUAAAAACACAGCACUGUGCAAACACGAAAGUGGACGUAUACGGUGUGACGCCUGCCCGGUGCCGGAAGGUUAAUUGAUGGGGUUAGCGCAAGCGAAGCUCUUGAUCGAAGCCCCGGUAAACGGCGGCCGUAACUAUAACGGUCCUAAGGUAGCGAAAUUCCUUGUCGGGUAAGUUCCGACCUGCACGAAUGGCGUAACGAUCUCCACACUGUCUCGGCCAGAGACUCGGUGAAAUUGCAGUCGCGGUGAAAAUUCCGUGUACCCGCAGAAAGACGGAAAGACCCUGUGCACCUUUACUAUAGCUUGACAUUGGAUUUUGGGCCUGCAUGUGUAGGAUAGGUGGGAGGCUGUGAACCCUGUACGCCAGUAUGGGGGGAGCCAUCCUUGAAAUACCACCCUUGCAUGUUUAAGAUCCUAACUUCUUCCGGUUAUCCCGGAGAAAGACAGUGUCUGGCGGGUAGUUUGACUGGGGCGGUCGCCUCCUAAAGUGUAACGGAGGCAUGCAAAGGUUCCCUCAGCCUGAUCGGAAACCAGGCGCUGAGUGCAAACGCAUAAGGGAGCUUGACUGUAAGAGAGACAUCUCGAACAGGAACGAAAGUUGGCGUUAGUGAUCCGGUGGUCCCGUAUGGAAGGGCCAUCGCUCAUUGGAUAAAAGGUACGCCGGGGAUAACAGGCUGAUCGCAUCCAAGAGUUCACAUCGACGAUGCGGUUUGGCACCUCGAUGUCGGCUCAUCACAUCCUGGGGCUGAAGCAGGUCCCAAGGGUACGGCUGUUCGCCGUUUAAAGUGGUACGCGAGCUGGGUUUAAAACGUCGUGAGACAGUUUGGUCCCUAUCUUCUGUGGGCGAAGGAGAAUUGAGAGGGCCUGUCCCUAGUACGAGAGGACCGGGAUGGACGCACCCCUGGUGAUCCUGUUGUCGCGCCAGCGGCAUAGCAGGGUAGCUAUGUGCGGAAGGGAUAACCGCUGAAAGCAUCUAAGCGGGAAGCCUGCCUCAAGAUAAGUUCUCCCCUCGAAAGAGCUGAAGGGCCCGGGUAGACUACCCGGUCGAUAGGCUGGAGGUGUAAGCGCGGCGACGUGCUCAGCUGACCAGUACUAAUAGCCCGAGCGGCUUAUUUUU